rnacentral:rRNA from 1 species
AACGAACGCUGGCGGCAGGCCUAACACAUGCAAGUCGAACGAAGCCUUCGGGCUUAGUGGCGGACGGGUGAGUAACGCGUGGGAAUCUACCUAGUUCUACGGAACAACAGAGGGAAACUUCUGCUAAUACCGUAUACGCCCUAAGGGGGAAAGAUUUAUCGGAAUUAGAUGAGCCCGCGUAAGAUUAGCUAGUUGGUGGGGUAAUGGCCUACCAAGGCGACGAUCUUUAGCUGGUCUGAGAGGAUGAUCAGCCACACUGGGACUGAGACACGGCCCAGACUCCUACGGGAGGCAGCAGUGGGGAAUAUUGGACAAUGGGCGCAAGCCUGAUCCAGCCAUGCCGCGUGAGUGAUGAAGGCCUUAGGGUUGUAAAGCUCUUUCAGUGGGGACGAUAAUGACGGUACCCACAGAAGAAGCCCCGGCUAACUUCGUGCCAGCAGCCGCGGUAAUACGAAGGGGGCUAGCGUUGUUCGGAUUUACUGGGCGUAAAGCGCACGUAGGCGGAUCGUUAAGUCGGGGGUGAAAUCCUGGAGCUCAACUCCAGAACUGCCUUCGAUACUGGCGAUCUUGAGUCCGGAAGAGGUGAGUGGAACUCCUAGUGUAGAGGUGAAAUUCGU